CCUCUCGUGGCUUAAUGGUCAGAGCACUGGUGCGUAAAGCCAGAGGUCCCGGGUUCGUUUCCCGGCGACGGCG
rfam:Agrilus planipennis Contig60581, whole genome shotgun sequence.